ACUGGUUUUAGUUAAACAGACAAAAAAAACCCAGAAACUGCUGGAAUAUUUAACAAUAUUCAAACUUUCUUUAAAGUGAUUUACAUCAUGUCACUCAGUGUAUGCAUCCAUUUAAUACAUGUUAACUGAUAUAAUAUGAAGUUCAAAGAACAACACUUGUCAAGCACUAUAUUGUUGUGCAAAAUAAUUUCUGUACAAAGUUUCUUUUGUAACAGCCACAGAUAUGCCUCAGAAAAAAUAUUAACAACCAAGUUGUGAUAAUUAUGUUCUUUUUUACAUUUGUAGAUCUGACCAUGGUUAUUGAAGUGGAUGUAAUAUGUUAGCAAGGAUAAGCUACAAAUUUAUCUGAUUCUCUUAAGAAAGGCAAGUUUAUGCCACAAAGGAACAGUUGUUGCCUUACUAUAGAAGUUCCUCCCAUACAUUAGCCAAUAUCAAACCAUGGACUGAUGCUUGCUGGACAAGUUGUUUAAUAUUUGAUAGAGGACCUCCAUGUGAAUUGAUACUGUGACAUUAAACAUUGUAUAUCUAUGGCAAGUGAUUGACACAGAGUUGUGUGCUGGGCAGUGCCGUGUGGGGGACGGGUAGAGGAGCAUGUUGCUUAAUGAGUUGCAAAAAUUGCAAUAAAGAUAUAAUACAACCAAUUUAGACAUUGUUUAUGACUGGUAAAGACCAUCAACUUGGGCAGUUUUUGCAAGAUUAAUAAAACAUUCAUUAUUUUAUUAGGUUCUUGAUAUUAGAUCAUCCUCUUUGCCAAAUUAUGUUCUAACACAGAGCAGCAGUACCAUAUGGAAAAUGGGGCCAAUACAAAAAUGAAACUUUUUGAUUGGUUGAGAAAAUGGGCUGAGUGUAAAAAAAUUGAAAUGUCAGGUGUUUUUAACAAAUUUUUUAAAAUUUAUCAUUUCUAAAUUUCCGUAUUUGUAAUUUUAAGUUUAUUUGAUACAUAAAUAUUGAUGUUAGUCCCUUAUCGGUUUAACCAGAGGUGACUAGGUUACCUUCUGUAUGUCCGUCUGUCCACCAAACUGGAUCCCUUGGUGAUGCAAAAAGUACUGAAAAUACUAAUGAAUGAAGCUUGAAAUAUGGGUAAAUGGCUGUAUGGAAAUUAUGAACAUCUUCUUUUCUUACUUUGUUGAUAAAUUUGGCUGCUAUGGCAACAAAUAGACUUAAAAUAUGGCAAAUAUAACAAAAUUUGGUAUUACUCAAAAGUACUGAAAACAUUUAUAUUAAACUUAAAAUAUGAAUAAAUGGCAUCAUGACCUUACGGCCAUUUUGCAUGUCAAGGUUCACAACUCUAGCACCAAAUUUAUUAGAUUUAUCCCCCUUGAACUUACAAUUUUCACAA